rnacentral:rRNA from 1 species
UACGGAGGGGGCGAGCGUUAUUCGGAAUUAUUGGGCGUAAAGGGCGCGUAGGCGGCUGUACAAGUCAAAGGUGAAAUCCCUCGGCUCAACUGAGGAACUGCCUUUGAAACUGUACGCUUGAGGCCGGGAGGGGGUAGCGGAAUUCCCAAUGUAGCGGUGAAAUGCGUAGAUAUCUGGAGGAAUACCGGUGGCGAAGGCGGCAUCCUGGACCGGCAUUGACGCUGAGUGAGCGAAAGCCAGGGGAGCAAACGGG